CUCCAUUUCCUUUUCUCUAUUUUUUUUUUUUUCUUUCGUCCAUCUAUUCACCACCACCCUCUUUGCCCCUUCGCCGCUUCUCGCUCACCUUCGACGCUUUCGGAAGUCCCUUCCUCAACCACCUCCGCCGCUGCAGCAGCAGCCGCCUCAGCCACUGCGUCGACUCAACACAACCAAGAUCACUUUGAAAGAGAGGGUUGGUGUAUCGGCUGCAGAAGUGAAACAUUGAGUGAAAUUUUCAAUAUAUUCAGUAAUUUUGUCUCAGUAAUUUCAGAGACCUCAUUGUGAAUUAAUUUUUUAAUCGGGUUAGAGUGAAUUUUUGAUUGUUGUGUACCUAUUUUGUAUGUACAGCAGCAAGCGGUAUUAGGGGUGGAGAGUGGACUGCGUAUUCAUAAGUCAACAACUUUUAAUAGUCAUGAUAUUUAUUUUCAUGGUUUGUUUCUACAACCUAACUUUUUUAUCUAUUUUGAAUAUUACUUAAUUAUUUUUUUCAUCUUUAUCUAUAUUUUAUAUUGGUUUUGGCAAUUUAUUCCGCUUUAGGAAUUCAAGUAGUUUUCAGUUCAACUAUAUGAAUAUGCAUAGCAAAUAACUAUUUUAUGAUUAUCUAAUUUCGUAUUCUUGGACUCAUUUCAAAUAUGGAAAGAAAGGAGUAAAUAUGUGAUCGGAUAUAAUUACAGUAGAUAUAAUACAAAGAUUGUAGAUUUAUCUUAUUGAAUAUUUUUAUUUUGUUUCAGGAAUUGACUGCUUCUGCCUGCAACGAUUAAUUAUAUUGACGGGUUCUUUUUUAUUUGAAUUUAAUGCUUUGUUUAUUUUCUCCUAUUUUUCACUAUAUAAUAUAUUUUAAACUAAUGUUAAUCUUUUUUAUUAGGAAUUCAUUGUCUGUAUGUGGUUGAUCUAUAAUUGUUUGCCUCUGAUUUUGUGCAUAUGACGUAAAUUGCAGCCAAAAAAAAAAAUUUGCAGCUCUGAUCUAUGCACUUUGUUAUUUUUUUCAUAGUAGAUAUUUUUUCAUCCAUAUAUAGCAAUAUUUCAGAAUCUCCUAC
rnacentral:lncRNA from 1 species